rnacentral:sRNA from 1 species
CUGGAGCUCGGACGCGAGUU